CAAAGGCGCCAUAAAGAACUUUUACACCCGCAUCCCAUUCCGUAGAGUAUCGGGGAUCUCUGUGAGCAACAAGAUGGAUGUGUCUGGAAGAACUGUAUCAAACGGGUUUUUCGACUGUGAGCAUCUCUGCGACGCUGAUCCUUGUUGCUUGGGCUUUGGACUUUUAAAUGCUUCCCAAGGAACAGGCGGCAAGGUCUUAUGCUUGGUUGUGAACAGUUUGGGAAUCCAAACAUGCAGUGAAGAACUAAGAAGUGACUGGCAG